rnacentral:rRNA from 1 species
AUUGAACGCUAGCGAUAGGCCUAACACAUGCAAGUCGAGGGGCAUCACAUGAAGUAGCAAUACGGAUGGUGGCGACCGGCGCACGGGUGAGUAACACGUAUGCAACCUGCCUUCAACAAGGGGAUAACCCGUUGAAAGACGGACUAAUACCCUAUAACACAGGGGUCCCGCAUGGGAAUAUUUGUUAAAGGACAACCGGUUGAAGAUGGGCAUGCGUUCCAUUAGCUAGUUGGCGGGUAAGGCCACCAAGGCAACGAUGGAUAGGGGAACUGAGAGGUUUAUCCCCCACACUGGUACUGAGACACGGACCAGACUCCUACGGGAGGCAGCAGUAGGGAAUUUUCGGCAAUGGGGGAAACCCUGACCGAGCAAUGCCGCGUGAACGAUGAAGGUCUUCGGAUUGUAAAGUUCUGUGAUUGGGGAAGAAUGGUAUUCUUAGGGAAUGAGGAGUACAUGACGGUACCCGAUUAGAAAGCCCCGGCUAACUAUGUGCCAGCAGCCGCGGUAAAUCACU